GGACCCGCACAAGCGGUGGAGCAUGUGGUUUAAUUCGAUGCAACGCGAAGAACCUUACCAGGGCUUGACAUACUGCGAAUCUUUUUGAAAGAAGAGAGUGCCUUCGGGAAUGCAGAUACAGGUGGUGCAUGGCUGUCGUCAGCUCGUGUCGUGAGAUGUUGGGUUAAGUCCCGCAACGAGCGCAACCCUUGUUUUUAGUUACCAACUUGUUGGGUUUUCUAGAAAGACUGCCGGUGACAAACCGGAGGAAGGUGAGGAUGACGUCAAGUCAGCAUGCCCCUUAUGUCCUGGGCUACACACGUGCUACAAUGGCUAGGACAAAGAGUUGCGAGUUCGCGAGAACCAGCUAAUCUCAUAAACCUAGCCUAAGUUCAGAUUGUAGGCUGCAACUCGCCUACAUG
rnacentral:rRNA from 1 species